rnacentral:rRNA from 1 species
UAGGGAAUCUUCGGCAAUGGACGGAAGUCUGACCGAGCAACGCCGCGUGAGUGAAGAAGGUUUUAGGAUCGUAAAGCUCUGUUGUUAGAGAAGAACGUUGGUAGGAGUGGAAAAUCUACCAAGUGACGGUAACUAACCAGAAAGGGACGGCUAACUACGUGCCAGCAGCCGCGGUAAUACGUAGGUCCCGAGCGUUGUCCGGAUUUAUUGGGCGUAAAGCGAGCGCAGGCGGUUCUUUAAGUCUGAAGUUAAAGGCAGUGGCUUAACCAUUGUACGCUUUAGGAACUGGAGGACUUGAGUGCAGAAGGGGAGAGUGGAAUUCCAUGUGUAGCGGUGAAAUGCGUAGAUAUAUGGAGGAACACCGGUGGCGAAAGCGGCUCUCUGGUCUGUAACUGACGCUGAGGCUCGAAAGCGUGGGGAGCAAACAGG